UACGUAGGGUGCGAGCGUUGUCCGGAAUUAUUGGGCGUAAAGAGCUCGUAGGCGGUUUGUUGCGUCGGCCGUGAAAACUUGGGGCUUAACUCCGAGCUUGCGGUCGAUACGGGCAGACUUGAGUUCGGCAGGGGAGACUGGAAUUCCUGGUGUAGCGGUGAAAUGCGCAGAUAUCAGGAAGAACACCCGUGGCGAAGGCGGCUCUCUGGGACGGUACUGACGCUGAGACGCGAAAGCGUGGGGAGCGAACAGG
rnacentral:rRNA from 1 species